UACGGAGGAUGCGAGCGUUAUCCGGAUUUAUUGGGUUUAAAGGGUGCGUAGGCGGGAUGCCAAGUCAGCGGUAAAAAUGCGGUGCUCAACGCCGUCGAGCCGUUGAAACUGGCGUUCUUGAGUGGGCGAGAAGUAUGCGGAAUGCGUGGUGUAGCGGUGAAAUGCAUAGAUAUCACGCAGAACUCCGAUUGCGAAGGCAGCAUACCGGCGCCCUACUGACGCUGAGGCACGAAAGCGUAGGUAUCGAACAGG
rnacentral:rRNA from 1 species